GAUGAACGCUGGCGGCGUGCCUAAUACAUGCAAGUCGAGCGAACAGAUGAGGAGCUUGCUCCUCUGACGUUAGCGGCGGACGGGUGAGUAACACGUGGAUAACCUACCUAUAAGACUGGGAUAACUUCGGGAAACCGGAGCUAAUACCGGAUAAUAUAUUGAACCGCAUGGUUCAAUAGUGAAAGACGGUUUUGCUGUCACUUAUAGAUGGAUCCGCGCCGCAUUAGCUAGUUGGUAAGGUAACGGCUUACCAAGGCAACGAUGCGUAGCCGACCUGAGAGGGGGAUAGGCCACACUGGAACUGAGACACGGUCCAGACUCCUACGGGAGGCAGCAGUAGGGAAUCUUCCGCAAUAGGCGAAAGCCUGACGGAGCAACGCCGCGUGAGUGAUGAAGGUCUUCGGAUCGUAAAACUCUGUUAUUAGGGAAGAACAAAUGUGUAAGUAACUAUGCACGUCUUGACGGUACCUAAUCAGAAAGCCACGGCUAACUACGUG
rnacentral:rRNA from 1 species